GACGAACGCUGGCGGCGUGCUUAACACAUGCAAGUCGAACGAAGUGGCGCACGGGUGAGUAACGCGUAAUCAACCUGCCCUUCAGAGGGGGACAACAGUUGGAAACGACUGCUAAUACCGCAUACUGAAGGAGGGGAUUGCGUCUGAUUAGCUAGUUGGAGGGGUAACGGCCCACCAAGGCGAUGAUCAGUAGCCGGUCUGAGAGGAUGAACGGCGACAUUGGGACUGAGACACGGCCCAGACUCCUACGGGAGGCAGCAGUGGGGAAUCUUCCGCAAUGGACGAAAGUCUGACUGAGCAACGCCGCGGGAGUGAUGAGUGACUUGGGGUUGUGAAGCUCUGUUAAUCGUGAUGCGGUAUCGGAAGAGAAAGCAACGGCAAACGACGUGCCAGCAGCCGCGGUAAUUC
rnacentral:rRNA from 1 species